GUGGGGAAUCUUAGACAAUGGGCGCAAGCCUGAUCUAGCCAUCCCGCGUGUGCGAUGAAGGCCUUCGGGUUGUAAAGCACUUUUGGCAGGGAAGAAAAGGCGCCGGCUAACACCUGGCGCUGCUGACGGUACCUGCAGAAUAAGCACCGGCUAACUACGUGCCAGCAGCCGCGGUAAUACGUAGGGUGCAAGCGUUAAUCGGAAUUACUGGGCGUAAAGCGUGCGCAGGCGGUUCGGAAAGAAAGAUGUGAAAUCCCAGGGCUUAAACUUGGAACUACAUUUUUAACUGCCGGGCUAGAGUAUGUCAGAGGUGGGUAGAAUUCCACGUGUAGCAGUGAAAUGCGGAGAGAUGUGGAGGAAUACCGAUGGCGAAGGCAGCCCCCUGGGAUGAUACUGACGCUCAUGCACGAAAGCGUGGGGAGCAAACAGGAUUAGAUACCCGGGUAGUCC
rnacentral:rRNA from 1 species